CGGGAGUGAGAGCUUUGUGUAACUUCCAGCUUAUGAUCUCGGAGAAAGGAUAUGAUGAUAUGUUUGUUCGCAGACAUGUUAUAUUUCAUUGAUAUGGUCAACUGAUUGCUUUGUUUUACUUGUCAUGGUGAAAUUGUUAUUUUAGAUGGUUAUGGAUCUUGGAUAUUACCAUUUUUUACCUUUUAUCUAGCUUGAAUGCAGCACCUUUGUUUCUUUUAUUGGUCGAUUAGGUUUUCUUGGAUUGGAU